AGAGUUUGAUCCUGGCUCAGGAUGAACGCUGGCGGCGUGCCUAAUACAUGCAAGUCGAGCGAACGGACGAGAAGCUUGCUUCUCUGAUGUUAGCGGCGGACGGGUGAGUAACACGUGGAUAACCUACCUAUAAGACUGGGAUAACUUCGGGAAACCGGAGCUAAUACCGGAUAAUAUUUUGAACCGCAUGGUUCAAAAGUGAAAGACGGUCUUGCUGUCACUUAUAGAUGGAUCCGCGCUGCAUUAGCUAGUUGGUAAGGUAACGGCUUACCAAGGCAACGAUGCAUAGCCGACCUGAGAGGGUGAUCGGCCACACUGGAACUGAGACACGGUCCAGACUCCUACGGGAGGCAGCAGUAGGGAAUCUUCCGCAAUGGGCGAAAGCCUGACGGAGCAACGCCGCGUGAGUGAUGAAGGUCUUCGGAUCGUAAAACUCUGUUAUUAGGGAAGAACAUAUGUGUAAGUAACUGUGCACAUCUUGACGGUACCUAAUCAGAAAGCCACGGCUAACUACGUGCCAGCAGCCGCGGUAAUACGUAGGUGGCAAGCGUUAUCCGGAAUUAUUGGGCGUAAAGCGCGCGUAGGCGGUUUUUUAAGUCUGAUGUGAAAGCCCACGGCUCAACCGUGGAGGGUCAUUGGAAACUGGAAAACUUGAGUGCAGAAGAGGAAAGUGGAAUUCCAUGUGUAGCGGUGAAAUGCGCAGAGAUAUGGAGGAACACCAGUGGCGAAGGCGACUUUCUGGUCUGUAACUGACGCUGAUGUGCGAAAGCGUGGGGAUCAAACAGGAUUAGAUACCCUGGUAGUCC
rnacentral:rRNA from 1 species